GAUGAACGCUGGCGGCGUGCCUAAUACAUGCAAGUCGAGCGAACAGACGAGGAGCUUGCUCCUCUGACGUUAGCGGCGGACGGGUGAGUAACACGUGGAUAACCUACCUAUAAGACUGGGAUAACUUCGGGAAACCGGAGCUAAUACCGGAUAAUAUAUUGAACCGCAUGGUUCAAUAGUGAAAGACGGGUUUGCUGUCACUUAUAGAUGGAUCCGCGCCGCAUUAGCUAGUUGGUAAUGUAACGGCUUAUCAAGGCAACGAUGCCUAGCCGACCUGAGAGGGGGAUCGGCCACACUGGGAGUGAGAGACGGUCCAGGCUCCUACGGGAGGCAGCAGUAGGGAAUCUGCCGCAAUGGGCGAAAGCCUGACGGAGCAACGCAGCGUGAGUGAUGAAGGUCUGCGGAUCGUAAAACGCUGUUAUUAGGGAAGAACAAAUGUGUAAGUAACUAUGCACGUCUGGACGGUACCUAAUCAGAAAGCCACGGCUAACUACGU
rnacentral:rRNA from 1 species